GGACAUACCCGCAGUUGAUUUAUUUCCUGCUUCCUGUCAUUUGGAGCAAACAACUCUUGAAGAUCUGGAUGAUCCUCAGCCUGGUCCAUCUGGACUUCACUCAACAGCUCCUGAAGAACCUGCUGACCAUCAACCAGAACAACAAACGGCAAAAGACGGAAAGACGAAGGGUAGCAGUACCGGCUUCAAGAGAGCAUGCAAGGCUAUAAAGGGAAAAUUCUCUCGCCACAAAAAGACCCAAGUGGUGCCCUUCAAACCGGAUACAUCGGAUCUACAGCCAGAUCCAAUUGACAAGACACAUUUAUGUGUUUUUGAGCCAGUGGUCGUACAGGACAUACCCGCAGUUGAUUUAUUUCCUGCUUCCUGUCAUUUUGAGCAAACAACUCAUGAAGAUCUGGAUGAUCCUCAGCCUGGUCCAUCUUGACUUCACUCAGCAGCUCCUGAAGAACCUGCUGACCAUCAACCAGAACAACAAAUGGCAAAAGACAGAAAGACGAAGGGUAGCCGUGCCGGCUUCAAGAGAGCAUGCAAGGCUAUAAAGGGAACAUUCUCUCGCCACAAAAAGACCAAAGUGGUGCCCUUCGAACCGGAUCCAUCGGAUCUACAGCCAGAUCCAAUUGUCCAGACACAUUUAUGUGUUUUUGAGCCUGUGGUCGUACAGGACCCUGCAGUUGAUUUAUUUCCUGCUUCCUGUGACUUGGAGAAAACAACUCUUGAAGAUCUGGAUGAUCCUCAGCCUGGUCCAUCUGGACUUCACUCAGCAGCUCCUGAAGAACCUGUUGACCAUCAACCAGAACAACAAACGGCAAAAGACAGAAAGACGAAGGGUAGCCGUGCCGGCUUCAAGAGAGCAUGCAAGGCUAUAAAGGGAACAUUCUCUCGCCACAAAAAGACCAAAGUGGUGCCCUUCAAACCGGAUACAUCGGAUCUACAGCCAGAUCCAAUUGUCCAGACACAUUUAUGUGUUUUUGAGCCAGUGGUCGUACAGGACCCCGCAGUUGAUUUAUUUCCUGCUUCCUGUCAUUUUGAGCAAACAACUCUUGAAGAUCUGGAUGAUCCUCAGCCUGGUCCAUCUGGACUUCACUCAGCAGCUCCUGAAGAACCUGUUGACCAUCAACCAGAACAACAAACGGCAAAAGACAAAAAGACGAAGGGUAGCCGUGCCGGCUUCAAGAGAGCAUGCAAGGCUAUAAAGGGCACAUUCUCUCGCUCCAAAAAGACCAAAGUGGUGCACUUCGAACCGGAUCCAUCGGAUCUACAGCCAGAUCCAAGUGUCCAGACACAUUUAUGUGUUUUUGAGCCAGUGCUCUUACAGGACCCUGCAGUUGAUUUAUUUCCUGCUUCCUGUCAUUUUGAGCAAACAACUCAUGAAGAUCUGGAUGAUCCUCUACCUGGUCCAUCUGGACUUCAGUCCACAGCUCCUGAAGAACCUGCUGACCAUCAACCAGAACAACAAACGGCAAAAGACAGAAAGACGAAGGGUAGCCGUGCCGGCUUCAAGAGAGCAUGCAAGGCUAUAAAGGGAACAUUCUCUCGCCACAAAAAGACCAAAGUGGUGCCCUUCGAACCGGAUCCAUCGGAUCUACAGCCAGAUCCAAUUGUCCAGACACAUUUAUGUGUUUUUGAGCCAGUGGUCGUACAGGACCCUGCAGUUGAUUUAUUUCCUGCUUCCUGUGACUUGGAGAAAACAACUCUUGAAGAUCUGGAUGAUCCUCAGCCUGGUCCAUCUGGACUUCACUCAGCAGCUCCUGAAGAACCUGUUGACCAUCAACCAGAACAACAAACGGCAAAAGACGGAAAGACGAAGGGUAGCCGUGCCGGCUUCAAGAGAGCAUGCAAGGCUAUAAAGGGAACAUUCUCUCGCCACAAAAAGACCAAAGUGGUGCCCUUCGAACCGGAUCCAUCGGAUCUACAGCCAGAUCCAAUUUUCCGGACACAUUUAUGUGUUUUUGAGCCAGUGCUCUUACAGGACCCUGCAGUUGAUUUAUUUCCUGCUUCCUGUAAUUUUGAGCAAACAACUCUUGAAGAUCUGGAUGAUCCUCAGCCUGGUCCAUCUGGACUUCAGUCCACAGCUCCUGAAGAACCUGCUGACCAUCAACCAGAACAACAAACGGCAAAAGACAAAAAGACGAAGGGUAGCCGUGCCGGCUUCAAGAGAGCAUGCAAGGCUAUAAAGGGAAAAUUCUCUCGCCACAAAAAGACCAAAGUGGUGCCCUUCGAACCGGAUCCAUCGGAUCUACAGCCAGAUCCAAUUGUCCAGACACAUUUAUGUGUUUUUGAGCCAGUGGUCGUACAGGACAUACCCGCAGUUGAUUUAUUUCCUGCUUCCUGUCAUUUGGAGCAAACAACUCUUGAAGAUCUGGAUGAUCCUCAGCCUGGUCCAUCUGGACUUCAGUCCACAGCUCCUGAAGAACCUACUGACCAUCAACCAGAACAACAAACGGCAAAAGACAGAAAGACGAAGGGUAGCCGUGCCGGCUUCAAGAGAGCAUGCAAGGCUAUAAAGGGAAAAUUCUCUCGCCACAAAAAGACCCAAGUGGUGCCCUUCGAACCGGAUCCAUCGGAUCUACAGCAAGAUCCAAUUGUCCAGACACAUUUAUGUGUUUUUGAGCCUGUGGUCGUACAGGACAUACCCGCAGUUGAUUUAUUUCCUGCUUCCUGUCAUUUUGAGCAAACAACUCAUGAAGAUCUGGAUGAUCCUCAGCCUGGUCCAUCUGGAAUUCAGUCCGCAGCUCCUGAAGAACCUGUUGACCAUCAACCAGAACAACAAACAAAAGAACCUACUGAUCCGGAUCCAUCUGAUCUUCAGGCAGAUCCACCUGUACUCGAGCCAACAGUUUUAGAAGAACCAGCUGAAAUUCAGCCUGAACGAUCAGUUUCAUCGCUUUAUGAAGAGGGCCGAAUUUUAGGAAUAGGCUACUCUGGCGUUGUGUAUGAGGGGAUUCGCAAAUCCGAUGGACAGAAGGUUGCCAUCAAAAAAUUGAUUGGGACCAACGAUUUUCGCCUUAAUGUCCCUGGGUAUUCUAAGCCUCUGUUCAUGGAAGCGGCUAUAAAUCUACAGCUCCACAAACGAGAGAAAUGCCCCAACAUCGUGCAGAUGUUAGACUGGUUUGAAGAAGAAGAGAGGUGCACCAUAGUUUUGGAGUACCCACAUCCCUGCUUGACCUUGUGGCACUUCUUGUGGCUCGUCAUUUCAUAAGGCAAGUCGUGAUCGCAGCUCAACACUGGCUUGACCACGGUGUCAACCAUGGUGUCCUGUCAUUGAAAAACGUCCUGAUCAAUACGGAGACGAAGCAGUUGAAAGUUAUAGACUUUGGAUGCAGCCUACUCAUCUCAACUAUCAACGACCUAACCUCAGGAUACUGUGACCAAGCUUAUGCGGCUGCAGAUACCGUCAACGUUAUGGGUAAAUUGCUGAAGAAAAUAGAUUCUUGCAACGAGAUAUAUAAGUUUGUAUCUCGAGAGCAAGAAUACGUCCCAUUUUCAGAAGAAUGCAAAGACUUGAUAGAGCGGAGCACGUGCAGUAACCUGGCGGACAGGCUUUCAUUAGAUGAGUUCUCAGAUCACGAGUGGUUCAAGCAGGGAUAAAGGUCAGGUUUGGCUUUAUUUAGAGCUCUGCUACGUUCAGUUAAGAACCGCCCCUUUCACUUUACUUUUAAGCUUUUCCUCUUUGAAGGGAUGUUUUUUUAGGCUAAACAUUUCAAUUUUUGAAGUAAUUGUUGGUGUUCUACUAACUCUCCUUUAAUAAUGCCCGAGAAGGUAGCUGCCUGGUGAGUGCAGAAUGAGAACCACACAUCCGAACGCUUGGUGCGGACUGUGAGUAUGAUAAUGUAUUAAUACUGUACCAGGCACUUCCGAAACCGUCACAAACUUAGAUAACUUAGAGUCAAUGUCUCUCACAGCAUCUUAACUACAUUGAUCUCUAUCGUUUCGGUCAUCAGAUCAUUCAGAUCAGCUCAUUCCGUUUGGUAAAAUCAUGAAUAACGUGAAUAACCUUUAACAUAAUUAAUAGAACAAUAGAACUCCUUUAGCUGGAAGUCGGCGGCGAGUUCCUCGUCCCCUGAUUCUCCCCUUUGGGCGGACGGACGCGGGCUCCGGACUCUGGCAGUCGUUGGCCGCACUCGGUGCUUCCGCCCCCUGCUCCUCCCCCUUGGGCGGACGGACACAGGCUCCGACCUCUGGCAGACGAAGGUGACUCCCCCGCUCCCGCUUGGACGUUAGCCACCCUACCUCGACCCAGGAGUGCGGCAGCAAAAGUCCCCGUCCCACCGAAGCUCUGGUGGCCCACGACGGUUCCUCCUCUUCUCAAGAACCACUGCUUCGGGCAGCCACUGGCGGACGCCCUUCGUCCGCGCUGCCUGAACUCUCUGACAACGCGAGACCACACGGCGGCAUGGACUCUCCGACAGCAUGUUUCUCCUUCCUCCCGGGUUUCGGCACCAAUGUAACAAAGUUGAUUCCAACUGUCAAUCACAGUUGGAAUCCCCGCCUUAUUGACCACAAUCAGUAAGAAAAGUAAGAGAAGCCACUGAAUAUAAUAAUUUUCAUCAAUAAUUAACAUUGCGCAAGCCGAUGAUUACGAAACACCACAAAUACGCUUCUUUUCUGUAGGCCUGCUGUGUGGGUAAACACAGUCGUGAUGGUUUUAAGAGGCAAUUUCAGAAUACUUUGACGACUUUCCUUCAGGCAUUUAAGAAUGACUAUAACAACAUUUCUCGUGCUAUUUAACAAGAUCAGUUCUCUGGUUAGUCAGGUUACGCCUUCUCAUAGUGCAGUUACGAGACUUUUUGGAGGAAUUUAUUAGGCAAAUGCUUCUCCAUCUCCCAUUAUUUGAAAUAAGCCUUUUUCGCAAAGAUGAAAAACCACGUACGUAAAACUUUUUUGCGAAAAAAGGUUUUUUUUAUUCAAAAUGUAUCUUUUCCAUCACUCGUUUCUGAUGCGAAACUUCAAAAUGCGAAUUAAACCAGAAUGAUGGAAACCUGCUUAGUGUAUUGUCAUAAUGAUGAUGUUGUGUAUAUUUGUACAUGUAAAGAAAUAAAACACCCUCAACAUUUGUGUAGGAUUUAGAAGCUCAACGGUUAACUUAAAAUACACCUGCGGGUCCAGGUGGAGACUGCCGUGUAUAACAUAUGGGAAAUUAAGCAUUUAAUCAUAUGUUAACGGUAUUUCGUCAGUUCUUCUGCGUCUCAUCGCAGCAUCUGUCCAACAACACAAAUAUGUCUCUCUGAAGGGUCCAUCACGACAACUUUCCUUAAAUAUAUAAUGCAAAACAUGUAAGGCGAAUAAAUAUAUGCAGAAUAUUUGACAAUUAACAGAUAAACAGAACGAAAGUGAAUAAUCGGUGACAAUGUGCUGAGUUUGGUCAGUUUGUGAGGCGCAGCACUCCACAAAUGAGUUAAUGGAUAGGAGAUGACAAAGUACACUCUGUAAGUUUUCUUUAUUUUGCAAAAGCACAAUGUUCAGUUUGUAGUAGAAGUGUGUACUUGACUAAAAGUAGAUAUAUGGCAUUAGUGCAUACUCAUAAUAAACUCGUACGCGUAAUCAUAUCUGUUUGACCAUUAAUCAUCACAGAGUUUUUAAAGUUUUUUCUGUGAAGUAAAGUGUUUAACUUCAUGUGCGCACUGCGCAGAAGAAUCCGCUUAUGAAAUCAUUGCAAUGGAAUUGCCGGGGUCGGGCCAGAUGUAGUCUCGAUCUCCCUGGGCUUGACAUGCCAGGGCCGCUUUUGCGGUGGGUUGUGACGGAACGGUGGUCUCCUCCUUCUUUUAUGUGAAGGUGAUGUUAAAUUCGAUGACACACCUGCAUCAGCCAUGUUAAUUGAGCAAUGAUAGAACGAUACACUCCCUGCUGUAAUACCCACCCCUAGUGAAAAGAAAAGUGAUAACUAGUGGAUAGUAUUAGCAAAUUUAAUCACGUUAAUGAAUGUUCAGUGUUGUGUAAAUAUGAAAGGAAAAAAGUCAAUUCACAGCAUUUAAGAAUCGAUAUUGAAUUGAUCCGUUUAAAAAAAACGAUUAAUCGAUUUUGCCAAGCCCUAAUAAUUAACAUUAAAAAAACAGUUGUGGCCAGUGACUCUUCCGUGGGUGCAGGAAUGCAAAGGUCGUCAAAACAUGCAUUUAGCCCGUCAUGCAUGUUGCUCGUCAUCUCAAAGUGUGUUCGGCGCAUCACGUGAACAUAUGUGCAUUGGGCAUCAUGCCACAAUACGUGCCUGCUGCAUAUGCACAGAUACGCAGACACUCGAUAUUGUCGUUUUUCUGCACAUUCACACACACCACUUAUAAAUGAUAACAUACAAAUUAAUUGUAGUAAUUCGGAUUCAUGUUGUCAAGAAUUGCUUAAAUAUGAUAAAAAAAUCUGUGAUCAGAAGUAUUACAUCUCGUAUUAUUGUAGCAAAACUGAGCACCUGUGACUGUGAAAUCUGUAUAGAAUUUAUUAGUCUUUGGGAUAAUGUUUUAAGAUUUGUCAAGGCUGUACGGUGACUUUUCUUGCACUUAGCACUGGGGCAGUGCCUAAUUUGUCAAUUCCAAGGUUAAUGGGGUGGGGAGUUAGUGGGGUGGGUAGAAGUAAAGGAAUGUGCGAUAUCUGAGGGUUUUCUAUCCAUCUAUUUAGAUCUUUUGAAAAUGCCCAUAAAAAAGUCUAAAUGGAAACGGACACGCAAAAAUAAUAUCAGAUUGAUCAGUUCAAAAUCUUAGUUGUAAGGUGAUGGAAACAAUAGCAAGGUUUCACUACAAAUUUGUGAAUUUAGCUUAUGCGCAAUAUUGGAAUAUCGAAUAAAACAUUUUAGAAUAAACACCGUUUCAUUCCAACUAGUCAACCGUCACUUCCAAAUAAACUGCCACUUAAUAUCAGUGUUAUAAUGUUCAAUUAGAAGGAAGAAAGGAGGCUGGAACCGGCAAACACUAAACAUUUAAUAAACAACAAUUAAAUAAUAUAGACCCUCACACAUGACUGUGGGCGACACACACAAACCAAACUAAAGGCCAGGCUUGGUCCUCUCUCGUCAGCAUUCCCGUCGCUUGUCUUCUUAUGCUCCCAAUCUCCUCCAUGAGAUAUGCGGGACCCCGCCUCACGGCUCCCAUCACGUCUUCCUGACUGUAGUGGAGUAGGCGGGUCGAGACUGUGGUUCUCGUAUCACGUAGGAGAUCGGGAGCAUAAGAGAAUGAGAGACCGGACCGUCGACGAGAGAGGACCGGGCCCGUACAUGUUUAUGUUUGUAUUUAUGUUUUAUUCACCGGCCGUCGACCGUGAGGGGCGGUCAGCUGUCUUUUUACUUUUAUUUUAUGUGAUUAAAUGUUUAAAUGUUUGCUG